GACGUAGGGUGCAAGCGUUUGUCCGGAUUUAUUGGGCGUAAAGAGCUCGUAGGCGGCUUGUUGCGUCCGCUGUGAAAGCCCGGGGCUUAACCCCGGGUCGGCAGUGGAUACGGGCAGGCUAGAGGUAGGUAGGGGAGAAUGGAAUUCCCGGUGUAGCGGUGAAAUGCGCAGAUAUCGGGAGGAACACCGGUGGCGAAGGCGGUUCUCUGGGCCUUACCUGACGCUGAGGAGCGAAAGCGUGGGGAGCGAACAGG
rnacentral:rRNA from 1 species